GACGAACGCUGGCGGCGUGCUUAACACAUGCAAGUCGAACGGUGAAGCGCCUUCCUUUUUGGUGGGUGUGGAUGAGUGGCGAACGGGUGAGUAACACGUGAGUAACCUGCCCCCUUCUUCUGGAUAACCGCAUGAAAGUGUGGCUAAUACGGGAUAUUCUGGGUCUGUCGCAUGAUGGGUCUGGGAAAGAUAUUGUUUCGGUGGGGGAUGGGCUCGCGGCCUAUCAGCUUGUUGGUGGGGUGAUGGCCUACCAAGGCGGUGACGGGUAGCCGGCCUGAGAGGGUGGACGGUCACACUGGGACUGAGACACGGCCCAGACUCCUACGGGAGGCAGCAGUGGGGAAUAUUGCACAAUGGGCGCAAGCCAGAUGCAGCGACGCCGCGUGAGGGAUGGAGGCCUUCGGGUUGUGAACCUCUUUCGCCAGUGAAGCAGGCCUGCCUCGUUUGUGGGUGGGUUGACGGUAGCUGGAUAAGAAGCGCCGGCUAACUACGUG
rnacentral:rRNA from 1 species